AGUGAACGCUGGCGGUAGGCCUAACACAUGCAAGUCGAACGGCAGCACAGUAAGAGCUUGCUCUUACGGGUGGCGAGUGGCGGACGGGUGAGGAAUACAUCGGAAUCUACUUUUUCGUGGGGGAUAACGUAGGGAAACUUACGCUAAUGCCGCAUACGACCUACGGGUGAAAGCAGGGGAUCUUCGGACCUUGCGCGAUUGAAUGAGCCGAUGUCGGAUUAGCUAGUUGGCGGGGUAAAGGCCCACCAAGGCGACGAUCCGUAGCUGGUCUGAGAGGAUGAUCAGCCACACUGGAACUGAGACACGGCCCAGACUCCUACGGGAGGCAGCAGUGGGGAAUAUUGGACAAUGGGCGCAAGCCUGAUCCAGCCAUACCGCGUGGGUGAAGAAGGCCUUCGGGUUGUAAAGCCCUUUUGUUGGGAAAGAAAAGCAGCAGGUUAAUACCCCGCUGUUCUGACGGUACCCAAAGAAUAAGCACCGGCUAACUUCGUG
rnacentral:rRNA from 1 species